GCCAGGAUGGCCGAGUGGUUAAGGCGUUGGACUUAAGAUCCAAUGGAUGUAUAUCUGUGUGGGUUUGAACCCCACUCCUGGUA
rnacentral:tRNA from 2 species